GUCCAGCCCACUCCCAGGUAUAGGAUAGCAUAAACUACACAGUCCAACCCACUCCCAGGUAUAGGAUAGCAUAAACUACACAGUCCAGCCCACUCCCAGGUAUAGGAUAGCAUAAACUACACAGUCCAACCCACUCCCAGGUAUAGGAUAGCAUAAACUACACAGUCCAACCCACUCCCAGGUAUAGGAUAGCAUAAACUACACAGUCCAGCCCACUCCCAGGUAUAGGAUAGCAUAAACUACACAGUCCAGCCCACUCCCAGGUAUAGGAUAGCAUAAACUACACAGUCCAACCCACUCCCAGGCAUAGGAUUCACAUUCCAAACCACUCCCAGGUAUAGGAUACACAUUCCAACCCACUCUCAUUCAUAGGAUACACAUUCCAACCCACUCUCAUUCAUAGGAUACACAUUCCAACCCACUCCCAGGUAUAGGAUACACAUUCCAACCCACUCCCAGGCAUAGGAUACACAUUCCAACCCACUCCCAGGUAUAGGAUACACAUUCCAACCCACUCCCAGGCAUAGGAUACACAUUCCAACCCACUCCCAGGUAUAGGAUACACAUUCCAACCCAGUCCCAGGUAUAGGAUACACAUUCCAACCCACUCCCAGGUAUAGGAUACACAUUCCAACCCACUCCCAGGUAUAGGAUACACAUUCCAACCCACUCCCAGGCAUAGGAUACACAUUCCAACCCACUCCCAGGUAUAGGAUACACAUUCCAACCCACUCCCAGGUAUAGGAUACACAUUCCAACCCACUCCCAGGUAUAGGAUACACAUUCCAACCCACUCCCAGGUAUAGGAUACACAUUCCAACCCACUCCCAGGUAUAGGAUACACAUUCCAACCCACUCCCAGGUAUAGGAUACACAUUCCAACCCACUCCCAGGUAUAGGAUACACAUUC